rnacentral:lncRNA from 1 species
UUUUUGUUUUUUUUUUUUUUUGGCUUUUUUGGGCCACAUCUGCCACCUAUGGAUGUUCCCAGGCUAGGGGUCAAAUGAAAGAUGCAGCUGCUGGCCGACACCACAGCCACAGCAACUCAGGAUCCAAACCUCACCUUUGACCUGCACCUCAGCUCAUGGCAACACCGGCUCCUUAACCCACGGAGCAAGGCCAGGGAUUGAACUCAUGUCCUUAUGGAUACUAGUCCCUGAGCCAAUGGGAACUCCUAGCUCUGUUUUUGAUGCUGAAGGACCCCUUUUGAUAAACAAAUACAAAUUAUCUUUUUAAAAUUAUACAUUGUAACUCUUUGUUGCUGGUCUAGAAGUCUUUUGUAAGAUUCAGUGCUUUUCACUAAGUAAAAACCGUGUUAGAAGGCAAAUAGAAAUAGACCUCCAGCUGAAACAUCUGCGGAAAAUUGCUGAGCCAUCCGGGGGCAGAGACGGUGGCCUCAAGAGUCUAAAAAAAGUACUUUCCUCUGAUGAGGGCAGCGAGUACAAAAUGAAAUGCUCUGUCACAGGAAAUAAAUGGUUGGAUGGUAGCCAUUCAGUGGAAAGUAAAACUGAUGGAAGCUAGGAGUGCGUUCUCUGCAGAAGUGCCAAGGUUGAAGUUGGAAGCCCUUGAGAAAUAUCUGUCUUUCCCAGUAAAUGCGUCUUCUUGUUCAGACUUAAUCUUUAGCCGGGCUCCCCUCGAUUGUACGCAGUGCCACCAAAACAUAAGUUUUUAGUCCGCCUAAUUCAGUCAUUCUAAUGAGCUGUGUUAAAAUAACUGUAUUCUGAGGAUUGUUUCUAUUCCUGUCCUAAAGUUCCCUUAAUUGACUUCUUCUUCCUCCCUCUGGGUACAAAACCGCCAGAAAGAAGAGCUGACAUCAAAAUGCCAUGGAAAAAGAGUAAAUACGGGGUUGGGAAUGAAAAUAAAAAUAGACGCACUUGAAUUUCAUGGAUGUUAGUUCUGUGAGGGCAGAUCCUCCUCUGCAGCGUUUAGAGUUCCCAGUCUGAGUGUCUGAUUCGGAAAAGCACUAUUUAGACUUGUCUUUCAUGUAAAACACACACACACACACACACACACACACACACACACACACACACACACACGCAUAUAUACCAGUGGGUCAUUCUGUGUCAUUCUGUUUGUGCAGCAUUUGGUCGAGAAUCUGUACAUUCCUGAGGAAGAAGGGUUUUGUUUUAUUCUUCUGUUUGCUAAAUCGCCUGUUGGAGCUUUCUCUUUCAUUCAGUAGUUAGGUGCUCAGUGCUUGUCUUGGAAUACUUUUUAAAAGUAUACAGUUCAUCUACAAGUUUUAAUAAUAAUUUCACGUAAUUAUAUUAACCCCUUGAUGGUGACAUUGAAACCUGUGAGCAGUUGUAGCAUUUUGGCUAAUUUGCACCACAAACUUUCAAGGUGAAAAUUAUAUUUUUCUUUCUAUCCUUCUUACAUUAUGGGUUAAAAGAUUUAUAACCAGAUAUUUUCUGAUAUGGGUAGAAGUGACAACUUGAAUUAUCACCCCAAACUAUUUUACAGUACAAAUAUAGCAUUUCACUAUAAACAGACUUUUUUCCCAUAAUGUUUUCGCUUGAUAGUUAUUACAUGCUGCUCAAUGUAAUGUAAUUUAUCAAUUUAUUACUUGUGUUUUUAAGUUGUAAGCAUACGUUCUAUUUCAUCUGACUUUUUUUUUUUUUUUUUGUCCUUUUACGGCCGCACCCACCACAUAUGGAGAAAUACACUCAAAAAAAAAAAAAAAAAAAAAAAAAAAAAAAAGUACAGAGAGUGGAGUCCAAAGAGUCUACGCAGGUCCAUCUGACUCUUGGAUGUAACCAGAUGGGUCACCUGGAAGGCAGAGCUGUAGAGAGAGUGUUCGAAGAAAGCAUUUCUAAAAAUGGGGCAUCCUUGCGAGGCCAGGGUCUGUUUGAAGGGGAAAGGAACCAAGGAAUGCACAUUGGGACAGAAGUUUCAAAGAAAACGCUGACGUAUGGACCAGAUAAUGCCUCCUCCUUGGGGGCUCAGGCUGUUGGGGAACCUUUGUUGGUGGUGGUGGUGGUUUGUUUUUAAGAGCUUUUUCCCCAAAUACAAGUUAUUGGAAUAUGGUUGAGUUACAAAGUUGUGUUUGAAGAGCAGGGCAAAGUGAAUCAGUUGUAUCUCCUUCCUUUUCAGAUUCUUUUCCCACCUAGGUGAUGGGACAAUACUGAGUAGAUUUCCCUGUGCUGUACAGCAGGUCCUUGCUGUUGAUUUAUUUGAUACAUAGUAGCAUGUAUAUGUUCACAGCAAAGUUCUAAUUGAUCCCCCCCUCCCCAGUUCCCCUUUGGUAACAAUAAGUUCUGUUUCAACAUCUUAAGAGUCUGAUUCUGUUUUGUAAGUUCUUUUGUAUCAUUUUCUUUUCUAUCAUUUUCAAUUCCACAUGUUAGUGAUCUCCUAUAAUACUUGCCUUUCUCUGUCUGACCCACUUCACUUGGGCUGACCAUUUCUAGGUCCGUCCGUGUUGCUGCAAAGGGCAUCGUUUCCCUGGUAACUUUGGAAGGUAGAAUAAGAUGGCAGUUAUAAAUAGUAGGAAAGGCAUGAACCCAAAUUGGUGUAUUGGAUGGAGGGUCUGUGAACACAGGUAAGACAGGACGGAUUCACUAGGAGAUGGAUUGGAAGCAGACAGUCUAGAAAGCUGCAGUAAAUCCAAGAUGCAGGUUCAAUCUCCUGCUGUUUGUUUCAUUCCUGAACUGUUAACAAGUUUUACCCAGAAAAUACCAGGUACUUGAGAUGAAGCCCAAAUGAUUAGCUUGUGUAGAGGGGAGAGCAGGUUAAUAACAUAAUUGCAUCGUCUGUAUUCAAUUUAAUCAUCUAAUAUGCAUUUUCUUUCUUUCUGUAAAGUCAUUUUUAAAUUAGGUUUAACCUGUACCCUAUCAUUUGGAAAUAAUUAAAAGCGUCCUUCUCCGGAAAUAAUCAAAUGGAGGACAAGGUUCCCAGGGAGAAUUUCCUUGAGUCAGGUGCCCAUUUGACAGAUCAAAUCCAACCAAUACAACGUUAUGACCAAGGGCCUUGGGUCCCAAGAUGGAAGGGGAGUUAAACAUGGGAAAAUCAAUCCUUGUUUGUCUCUGUUAGUCCAUGACCAGAAUAAAGAUGAAAGCCCAUAUAAUCAGCUUAGUAGAUGCA